AGGUAAUCGCUAUCAACGUUCCAAUUUGUCAUUUCUAUUUUCUCUACGAAAUAACGAGAAUAUUGCUCCAUUCAUUGCAAACAUGAAACCUGGCCACCAACAGAAUGCUAUAUAUUGUUACCCAGAUUAUGGCCCAACUUUUGGAGGAAGUCAUGAUGUACAUGUUAGUAAUAACGCUAAUGGCAAUCAAGGAUCUUACAGCGGUUUUGGGUUCUCCUAUCAAGCACCCCCUGGCACGGUAGAAGCUAAUUCUCUUUUAGCUGGUAGUCGUACAUUCACACCAACUGAAAUAGAGGUAUUUAUUUGAACUGCACUGAUUGUCCUUCUCACCACAAUGAUGGCACGCAUGCAUAUGGUUUCUUGAGAAGUAUGAGAUCCACACGUGUCUAUACCAUAUACUGUAAUGGAUAUUUAUUUAUUACCGGUUUCAGGUCACUUUUCACGGCGCGUUUCCGAAUUUUUGUUGUGAAUAUUCCUAAUUACG